rnacentral:rRNA from 1 species
GAUUCCCCUAGUAAGGGCGACUGAAGCGGGAAGAGCUCACCUUGUGAAUCUGUGCAACUCUUGGAGUUGUGCUGAAUUGUGGUCUGGAGAAGCAUUGUCGGCCGUGACUCUUAAGAAGAUCCCUUGGAACAGGGUAGCUAAGAGGGUGACACUCCCGUUCAUAUUUGGAUGUCACGUGCCAUAGUACAUGCCUUCAAUGAGUCGAGUUGCUUGGGAUUGCAGCUCUAAGCAGGUGGUAAAUUCCAUCUAAAGCUAAAUAUUGGUGGGAGACCGAUAGCAAACAAGUACCGUGAGGGAAAGAUGCAAAGAACUUUGAAAAGAGAGUUAAAGAGUACCUGAAAUUGCUGAAAGGGAAGCGAAGGAAACCAGUGUUGGGCUCAGUCAUACUUCUCGUGCCACUUGUGGCAAGGGCGCUGUGUUUGGGCACAUGUCAGGGUCAGUUCAUGAUUGGAAGAGAUGUUGUUUCAACAGGUAGCCCCCUUGUGGGGUCUUUAAUUGAGACUUUUGAUUCUGGUCAGUGCUGAGGCAGUUACAUUUUGUACUUGUGAUGCUGACAAAAUGGUUUUCUUUACCCCGUCUUGAAACACGGACCAAGGAGUCUAACAUAUGUGCGAGUACAGGGGUGAUAAACCCCCGUGCGCAAUGAAAGUGACAGUGGUUGGACCCUUUGGGGCACAAUCCGCCGGCCACAAUCCUUUGGGAGAAAGGUCUGAGUGUGAGCACACAUGUUGGGACCCGAAAGAUGGUGAACUAUGCGUGAAUAGGGUGAAGCCAGGGGAAACUCUGGUGGAGGCUCGUAGCGAUUCUGACGUGCAAAUCGAUCGUCAAAUUUGCGUA